UUAAUGCACUGAGCGAGGCCAGGGAUGAACUCAUGAUACUAGUCAGGUUCGUUACCCACUGAGCAAUGACAGGAACUCCCUAUAGUUUUCAAUAAUGCUUUAUUCUGUUCUUUCAGUAUCAGAAUCUCAGAUCCAACAUUGCCAUUUUGAGUGAUUACUUUUGACUGAAUUCAGUGAAUGGAGCAAUCUAAAGAUCAUUGUCACCAAAGUGUGGUCCUACUCUUUGUGGAUCUUUUUAAUACAAGAUUUUAAAAUGUUUAUAUCAGCAAAAGAUAAACCUAUCUUUUUUUAAUGUCUUCUAGAUUUUUAAAAUCAUAUUGAGGGAGGUGUUCCCAAUUCCAAAAUAACCCCAAAUUCUAAAUUGUUCUUCUUUCAUCAUAUUUAAAACCAUUUGGGAUUUUUUUUUCCAUAUAUGGAGUGAGGUAGGGAUCUAGCUUUGUUUUCUUCAAGCAGUUGUCAAUCAUGGAAGCAGCAUUUAUUCAAUAUAUCUCUUUCCCCCCAUCUGCCCCCAUGGUUGGGGACACAUACAUUAUACCACUUUUCAAACCCUAUCUUCUGAGAUGUUCUGUUUAUGAUGGGAAGAGGGUAGCUCUGGGUGUGUGUGGUUCCUGGGGACCACACUGACGGAUUGGGCCACUGGCUCGAGGUAGUGGAGCAGGGUCUUCUGACAGAUGUGACACUGUAGGUCAGGUUGGUCCUGCCUUUCCCAUUGUUACAGUGUGGUCAGUAAACGAAUAGACAAAGAGUCUAGGUGAUUCAAGAAGGAAAAGAACUCAUAGAGAAACAGAUUUUCCUUCAUUUUAGGAAAAAGAGAUUUUGUUUCUCAUAAGCAGCCCCUGGCACAGUCUCCAAUGCCAGGAAUUUGGAUUCAGUUGAGACUUCACACUUUAUAAAGAAAUGCUUUCAGCACCUCAGGCAGCAUGAUUAGGAGGUGAGGUUUGGCCGUCUCCUUCUCUCUUCUGUCUUCCACGCCCCUUGUUCUUAGCUCCUUUUCUCUCCUCAUUUGCUGCUGUAUUGAUGAGAAUUUUGUAGCUUUUUAAAGUGCUUCCUGUGUGAUCUUGUUCUCAAGGCUUUCAUGGGAGGCAUUCGGUGUGUUUUAGCAGAGGCCACACCAUCUCCCCUUGGCUCCUGGCAUCUCUCCUUUUCUCCCUUGACUGGCUUUGGUCUUCUCCCUCUUCUCAAACCCCUUUGUCCCCUGGCCUUCUGUUUGUCUCUUGCCACUAAACUUCCUCUUCUGUGAACUCUCUCACCUUCCUCCCAGCAGCCUUUCUCCUAAAACACAUCACAGGAGAGAUGCAAGCAGUUGGAAGCUUAAGUUCGUUACCCCUGGACUAACUUUUUCUAUCAAUGAACAUUCCUUUGUCUGUUUCAGUGAAAGAAGAAAAGUAAAAAUCUCAAACCCCCAACUUUGUAGUUAACCCAGUUUUCCUGCCUCCCCCAGGACAUCUUUCUUGCUACCUCUUCCUCAGAUAUUUCUCACCCAGGUGAUAAAAUGUAGGCAAACCCAGAAGGCAAAACCUUUCAGAGAGUAGCUCUUCAUACUCAUCUUUCCACAUUUGUGUGCCCUUGUCCCUUUGGGACACUUGGCAUGUCAAGUCCAGGCUUUUAGGUAAGUAGUAAGCACAGAUCAAAGGGGGUUCCAAUGUGUUUUUAUAAAAUUGCAUUUUCUACAUGUGUCUCUCCCACGAGAGGGUUUAGACAAAAGUGAAAAUCUGGGCAAUAUUUGUGGAAGCAAUUUCAAGUCCAAUUUUUGGGGAGAAAGUUGCAGAAUACCUUAAGUAGUGGAGGUUCCAAAGUAAAGUCAUUUGCUCUGAUUUUGAUCAGAAUGGAGAAAAGUAGAGGGAUCUGGGAGGAGCAAUGCAGAGAGAAGUAUAACAGCCAAGUUGGCCUGAAGUUCCGGAGCUAAAGUAGUAGAACAUACCAGGCUCAGCUGAGGUCUGACUCAGAGAUAAGCCCUCUGAGUUAGGAGGAAAAUACUUGAAGGAAGACUAUUGAUAAUACAAGGAUUACAGUAAACUGUGACAGACAGCAAGUGACUGUUAGUGAGAAGACAUCAAAUUGUACCUUAGAUUUUAUUUUCUUUACAACCUAUGACCUCUGAGUAGCUUCUUGACACCUGUAAAAUAAUAUUACAUUCAACAGUUUCACUCAUAGUUUUUGGUUUGAAAAUAAAAGAAUGAAAACAUACAAUUUAAUUUUUUAUGUUAGGCUCACCUUUUGUUUAUUCUCAGUACUUGAGAACUUAUAAUCAGUGUACUGACCACUGGUGACAGUAUACCCCCAUACUUUAAUUGUUUGAAGAUCUCAACUUUUUGAUACACUGCAAUGGGAAAAGGGCAGGGAAUAAGAAAGCUGAACUAUGCUGCAGUUUUGUUCCACUUUUAGCUCUUUGUCCUCUUCCUUCUCCAGGAAGUAACUUUUGGGGGAAUGAAUCCAGGAAAGUGUGUUGAGUUCUUCAGUGUUAAGGAUACUCUCACUGGCUGAUUCUGAUCCCAUGUGUACUUCCCAGGAUAUGGGGAGGCUUAUUGCUUCUGACUGAUGAACAAGACAAGACAAUGACAUGCCAGAAACCAUUCCUGCGCCAGCUCUUACAAAGCUAGUUGAUAAUGUUCACUUUCAAAAGAAGUACCAAUUCUCCCUUCCCUGGAAUAAGUAGAGAUUGUGCUGCAGGUUGUUGGAGAGGAGUUAAGGAGUUAGAAGGAGUUGAGCAUCAGAGUACCAGUUGGAUCAGCCAGCUCCCAAGUUCCCUGUCUGCCCAGAAUAUUAGAGAUCAAGAAGCUGGGCUCUACACAACAUUGUAAAUCAAUUAUAGUGUAAUAAGGAAAAAUACAAUUGAAAGGCGAAGAAGAAGAAGGAGAAGAAGUUGGGCUCUUGAGUAAGACAGAUUCCCCCCUGUUUGGAUUUUGGCUCCACCAUAUACUAGCUGUGUGAUCAUGUGCAGGUGAGUGACCUCUCUGAGCCUUUGUUUCCUCGUUCAUAAGAGAGGUAACAGCA